rnacentral:lncRNA from 1 species
CGGGGUUAUAUAUAUUUUGGGUAUUUUUAUUUUGGACUGUUUGACACCCACAUAGCCCUCUGCAGAGGGCGUAUGUAAGAUGAGAGCAGCUCUAAAAUCCCUCUUUGGGAGGUUUCUGAGCACACGGGCUCUGCUGUAAUUGACAUAGCAGCAUCUCCCUGUCUCUCUUUAAAAUUGAAACAUCAAAAAUGUUUUCUCCAGUGUGCUCCCCCAGGCCAUAAUUCAGCCACCACUGCCUGGUGGCAGUGGGGGCACCUAGCAGGAGGUGAGGGAUGGCACUCCAUGAACUUCACAGCCUCUCUGUUGAGGAUGUGCCGAAGCCAGCUGCUCCUCUAGGUCCUGCUGAGGACUCAUGCAGGUGUGUCUCACAGCAUUUGUCUCCAGGAAAAAGCAGACUUCUCAAAUGAGAAGUGUAGUAUUGAGACCUUUCAGAGUUCUGAAUUGCUCAUCUCAGGUGGGGUAAUGAGCUGCAAAGCAACAAGGCAUUAGUUAAGAAAACUUGCUCAAAAAGGCAGUAUUUCUCAACUUGCCAAGACUGGGCAUUUGUCUGCUGUUUAGUCAGCACCCAUCAGGAUAGUAACUAAUUGAAGCCAAAGGGACCACUCACAGCGUAAGAUGACAGGCAACAUGAGUAAUGGUAAUACUAUUUGGCCUUUAAUUAGUCCUUUAUAGUUUACUUCAGAGCUAGAGAGCUCUGGUUGUAUCCACUGCUCCUGCAUGUGAGCUCCUUGUGGAUUAAUUUGUGGCUCCUACAACAGGUAUGAAGGGCUGGUGACUGCAGAGCUGCUCAUGUCUGCAGGUGUUUGCCCCACUCUUACCCCUUCCAUUCAUCACUGAGAAAUCAGGAUUUUUCUUCCUCCUUUGCCACAAAGUAUCUGGGGUGUCUCAGGUGUCUCAAAUAAAUCUUGCUGAUUUCUCUCAGUGCCUGCUAAAUUAUGGCAGCUUUGCUGCAGGAUAACAAGCUUGGUUGCCUCCCAGGUGGUUUCUUUGCUGGCUGUCCAGCUGUUAGUCUGACCAGGAGAGUGUUGUGGAUGUCUGUCACAACAUGGUGUUUUUUUUUCUCCCUUCUCAUUCCUUACGUUGCUGAGAACAUGCAAGAACACAAAGUUGACUGUAAGCUGUUUCCUGCAGUGCUGCGGUUUGGUUCACAUCCUGAAACAUGGAAAGACCACAUCCCUGAGACUUUCAAAUGGUGUGAGAGCCACACAGAAGAAGACAGACGUGUACACACCCACAGAGCAAGAUACCAACUCCCAGAGUGUCCAGAAGAGCUUACAUACUAAUCUUGGCACUUCUAAAUUAAAUGUAAUUCCAGAGAAAAUUCCCUCAUUAUUACUGCUCCUGUCCUUGUGGGUAGAAUCUUAACGUUUCUUCCUUUUUUUUUUUUUUUGUAAUUGUAUAAAAAGCAUUUGAUUUGGGUGACAUUCACUGGAAUAACAUGCAGUGGAAUAGUAACACAUAUAUUAUAAAAGCUACUGAAAGUGGAAGUCACAUCCCGUUUGCUAAAAC